rnacentral:snRNA from 1 species
GGCUUUGCGCAGUGGCAGUAUCGUAGCCGGUGAGGUUUAUCUGAGGCGUGAUUAUUGCUAAUUGAAAACUUUUCCCAAUACUCCACCGUGACGACUUGCAAUACAGUCGGAACUGGCAAUUUUUGACAGUAUCUGUGGAGA